rnacentral:rRNA from 1 species
UACGUAGGUGGCGAGCGUUAUCCGGAAUGAUUGGGCGUAAAGGGUGCGUAGGCGGCCUGCUAAGUCUGGAGUGAAAGGUACCGGCUCAACCGGUACAGGCUCUGGAAACUGGCGGGCUAGAGAGCAGGAGAGGAGAAUGGAAUUCCUAGUGUAGCGGUGAAAUGCGUAGAGAUUAGGAAGAACACCAGUGGCGAAGGCGAUUCUCUGGACUGUAACUGACGCUGAGGCUCGAAAGCGUGGGGAGCAAACAGG